AACGAACGCUGGCGGCAUGCCUAACACAUGCAAGUCGAACGAGACCUUCGGGUCUAGUGGCGCACGGGUGCGUAACGCGUGGGAACCUGCCUUUAGGUUCGGAAUAACUCAGAGAAGUUUGAGCUAAUACCGGAUGAUGUCUUCGGACCAAAGAUUUAUCGCCUUUAGAUGGGCCCGCGUUGGAUUAGCUAGUUGGUGGGGUAAAGGCCUACCAAGGCGACGAUCCAUAGCUGGUCUGAGAGGAUGAUCAGCCACACUGGGACUGAGACACGGCCCAGACUCCUACGGGAGGCAGCAGUGGGGAAUAUUGGACAAUGGGCGAAAGCCUGAUCCAGCAAUGCCGCGUGAGUGAUGAAGGCCUUAGGGUUGUAAAGCUCUUUUACCCGAGAUGAUAAUGACAGUAGCGGGAGAAUAAGCUCCGGCUAACUCCGUG
rnacentral:rRNA from 1 species